CCGGCGAGCAACCAUGAAGGCCACCGCCGUCCUCUCCUUCGGCUCACACAAAUACAACUCUCAUCCUCCCCGACUCAGCAGACCCAACCAGACACUCCAACAUUGGAACUCGGCAAUCAAAAUCAAACUCAAGACUUUUCUUUAUUCUUAUUAAUAGAUAUGCUUCAAAAUAAAAUCUUUUCUUUUCAAUGAAUCAUGCUAUCAUGUAUGUAUAUGUAAUAAUGAAAGUCAUACUAUUGAAAUGCUUGAAUGUUUUGUUGUGUAUAUUGGUUUACUGGAAUGGCACAUAUGAAGAGCUUGAUUUUUAACAGUCGAGCAAAUGAGGUAAGGGCUCGAGAGGAAACCUUUAGGUAUUUAGGAUGUGAAAUGGUUGCUGCCUGAUUCUGAAUUUGCUUGUUUGCUGGAAUCACUGCACAAUAUUUCAGAUUUUUGCUUCUCUUCAAUAUAUGCAGAGAAACUAAGAAUGAGAUGGAGAAAUCUCAAAGUUGAGAGGAAUUUACCUAUGGUUGUUGCGCACUUCAGGGAUGAAGAAGAGCUUGUGAGGAAAUUUCCAAGUGGAU
rnacentral:lncRNA from 1 species